GGCGCGGCUGGAAGAACCAGACUGAGAAAGUGCCACAGGGCGGGGGCCGCAUCCGCCCCUCGGCUUCUGGCUACUGACCCUACGGCUUUGUGAGUGAAAGUGAAGAGACACUUCGAGGCAGGAGGUCCUGGAACCAAUCCCCCUCUGAUACUGAGGGACAACUAUUACACAAGAGAAAUAUUCUACUAUUCACAAAAUCCUGUUUAAGUGUCGUGAAAUACAAACACCAGGGAAUCAAGAACUUUAGAAAAUUGUGGCUGUGUUCCCAUACGGGGUACAAAGAACCAGUGAGUCCCAUUUGUUGUGGUUCCUGCAUUCGAUGACUCCAGAUGUGCCACCACCGAGCUAGUCUUAUGACAACCUAGAAGGCAAAUUGGGAUGGCCCUAUAUUUGUCACUGACAGCAGAAGGGUUGAGAACUUAGAUCCUGACAGGAGGCCCACCUUUAUUGGAGAACUGGCUCUGCAACUUAGCUCAUGUAAGACUGCUGGGAUUUGAAAUUUAUCCUAUUAUUUGAAGACUGAAAUCAAAAUAUGAAGAUGGAGCAUCAUGUGUGCCUUCUAUCUUGUUCUCUACUAGGGUGUAAACCAUUUAACUAAAAAUAGUCUCCAAUUUGACACCUUCCCAACAUUUCACUAGUAUACGCCAAAUCUCCAUGCAGGGUUAUAGACCUAUUUCAGCUGGCUCCAUUUACUCUGAGGCAGAUAAAGCUGAGAUUGCAACGUCAGAAGCAGUUCAACUAAUCAUUAUGUACAAACCUCAGCCCAUUUGUAUAAUGCAAUCCUUCUGGUAGUAAUGACACAAAACAUGCCUAUAGGGACGAUCACAACCCUGUCAAAGUCCCAAGUCAUCUGUGGCACCAGGGCCACAGAACUUCUUACCACUUGGAAGCAAAAUAGUUGCUUUAAUGGUAACCAAAUGCCCUCCUUCAAGACAGUAUUUCAAGAAGGAGGAGUAUACGUAUAUUAUACAAACAUAUCCAAUCCCUUUAGAAGAUAAUUAUCAAUAUCAUGCAGGGAAGCUGGAACACACACACAAAAUCGAGUACUAUCUAGAAGAUCAAGCCACAAAUCUCAAGAGAAGCAGUAAGUGUCCAGGGCCUGGGAUCUUUUAUCUAGGCCGUGAGAAUAGCACAGCCCGUGGUGCAGAAACGACAGGCUAGUUGUCCAGCAUAACAUGGUGUUUUAUUUCACCAUAGUAGACUGCUGGGAAAUCUCUGGAGGCCUUGGCAGCUGUGUCUUGUCUUUAAUAUGAAGCCUGGGGGGAAGACAGAGAGAGAGACUCAUAAUUCACAAGAGGCCCAGCCACAAGAAAGCCAUUCUAAAUAACUGAAUCAGGCACUGAGGAGGAGCGACUAUUCCAUUCCUAAGUCAAGAAUGCUUUUUGUCUUUCCUUCUCUCCUUAUUGGCUCAUGAAAAGAUCAUUUAUGGGUGGUAGAAUCAGUACAUCAGAGGCAGCUUCUGUUUCUCUCCAUUUCUCCUUCCCACUGCUGCUGUCCUGUAAAAAGACCCUUUGUUACAGACUGAAACAGCAGAUGCAGCUCAGAUGUUAUCUUGAAUAAUUUUGGGGGGAGCAUUUUAUUUUGAAUUGGUGUAACACCAUUUUCACGUGGAAAGUGGUUCUAUGGCUGAUCCAAAUAUUCUAGAAACUUGAGAAACCCAUAUGGCAAAGAAGUACUUUACAGACAUAUCUCUUUAAAGUAGUGCAGGGUAUGGGAAGAACUGAUAAUGCUGAUUAAAUGAUAUGUAGACGAAAUGAAUGUAAAUUGGCAUCAUGGGCUGAGUGAGUCAGGGGAGGCCUUGUGGAAGAGAUAAGAGUAAUAGAAAAUGCUAGGUCAAGUAUGUGUAGAGGCCUGGAGAGAGGAAUGGACUUAGUGGGUCCAAAAGUAAGAAGACUUGUUUGUUGUGAAUACAGAGUUAGAAGUAGGUAGAAGAAAAAGUUGUUCGGGUCCUUCAAAGAUUAAAAAUCUCGUUUAAGAUUUUAGAUUGUUUCAAUAAUCAAUUAGUUGGUGUCUGUGUUCAUUGUGGAAAUGCUUUAAAUAUAGAUAACAAAAAGGAUAAUAACUUGCAAUCCUACCAGUCAUAGGAUAAUGAUGGCAGACAAUGUGGUGCACAUUCUUUCAUAUAUUUUAUUGUCCUAGUUUAAGGUUCCCUAUAGGCAGAUCCUGAGAUGAAGAUUUAAAUGCACACCACUUAUUGAGGAGGUGAUUUCAGGAAACACCGGCAGGAGAGUGGGGCAGUAUGACAGGGAAAGAAAGGAAGCAAAAAAAUAAAGGGCAUGUUCUCAAAGGAAUCAACUGGAGAGCAGUCAUGCUGGAGACACUGGAAGAGAGUAUAGAAGAUGUCUCAAUGUAGUCCUGCCUGGGGAUCAGGAAGUCGAAGUAUUUAUCCACUAAUUCUUGUCAAUUGAGAAUUUAUUUGAGGGGCAUUAACUCUCCAGAAGGGUCUCCCUGUGCCAGAAAAAUAACCCUAAGCAGAGUGUUGCAGGUAUUUGCAGCAAAUAGCCCUCAGUGUGUCCUGAGGAUUGGUGUAGUACAUAAAUAUACAAAAUUAUUUUUAUUUAUAAAAAAGCUUUCUAUGCAUCAGGCUCUGUACUGUGUGUUUUACUUGCAUUCACUCAAAUAGUUCUCACAAAAGCCCUAUGAGGUCGGUGCUACCCUUAUCCCCUGAGGAUUAGAGGCUGGGAGAAGUAUAUAUGAGAGUCAUAUGGAGAUUAAAUACCUGAAGUCAUGAGGAGAUGAUGCAGUCUCCAAGAAAGUUUUGAUGACAGCCUAUUUAUGCAGCUCCUGUCAUCUGUACACAUUCUCCUCUUUCUGUCAACAAAGAGUUUUUCUUUUGCAAUUCUAAAUGUCCUCUGUUUUCAGAGACUUUUGUUGGAAAACAAAACAAAAUCUUGAGACAUGAAGAGUCUGUAAUGGACACCUGUCGAUUGUGUCUGUUCAGCAGCUCCUCUCCCACCUGUCUUCCAGUACAACACCUUAUUUCAUUGGAAAGAAAAGUUCUACCUCUUCUCCUUAAGGUUUUAGUGGACAGCCAAACCAGUCUUCAGUCUACAGGGUGAGUAUGAGAUCCAGGCUUGACCAACCAUAGUCACCACCCACUUGGCUAUAUCAAAUUGAGCCAGAAAGAGCCUUUCCCUGGGAAUUUAUAUGUAGACUUUGGGAAAAGGAAGCUUUCUUCUCUGAUGUUACUAGACAGCGAUGACAAAACCAGUGCUUGUCUGGACCAUGCUCCACUUCCUCUCCACAGCAAGAUGAGCAAGCUCAUCUAUAGUAGGAAAGAAUGUAGGAAUGCAUCCCCUGCACAGAGAAAAGCAGAGGAGAGAAUGAGAGAGAGAGAGAGAGAGAGAGAGAGAGAGAGAGAGAGAUCUGACUGUACUGCUAAGUCCCUGCAAUCCCCACCAAGGUCUACAAGGUCUACUUCCCCUAGACUACAACUACCCAUUACUUGUGCCAAAUAUGCAAUAAAUCAUAACCUUAGCAGGGAGAGGGGUGAAGAGAGAUUGAUUAAUGGGUAUGUAUAUACAGUAUGAUAGAAGAAAUAAGACCUAGUAUUUGAUCAAUCAGUAGUAUGACUAUAGUUUACAAUAAUCUAUUGUAUAUUUCAAUAUAGCUAGAAGAGAAGAAUUAGAAUGUUUCUAGCAUAAAGAAAAUACAAAUAUUUAAGGUGAUGGGAAUCUCAAUUACACUGAUUUUAUCUUUACGAGGUAUAUGAAUGUUUUAAAUUGUCAUAAUACCCCCCAAAUAUGUACAUGUUAUGUAUCAAUAAAACACAAAAUUAAAAAAUAAAUAAAUAUUUAAACAAUCAUA
rnacentral:lncRNA from 1 species